rnacentral:rRNA from 1 species
AUUGAACGCUGGCGGCAGGCCUAACACAUGCAAGUCGAGCGGAUGAAGGGAGCUUGCUCCUGGAUUCAGCGGCGGACGGGUGAGUAAUGCCUAGGAAUCUGCCUGGUAGUGGGGGAUAACGUCCGGAAACGGGCGCUAAUACCGCAUACGUCCUGAGGGAGAAAGUGGGGGAUCUUCGGACCUCACGCUAUCAGAUGAGCCUAGGUCGGAUUAGCUAGUUGGUGGGGUAAAGGCCUACCAAGGCGACGAUCCGUAACUGGUCUGAGAGGAUGAUCAGUCACACUGGAACGAGGAAACGGUCCAGACUCCUACGGGAGGCAGCAGGGGGGAAUAUUGGACAAUGGGCGAAAGCCUGAUCAAGCCAGGCCGCGGGGGUGAAGAAGGUCUUCGGAUUGUAAAGCACUUUAAGUUGGGAGGAAGGGCAGUAAGUUAAUACCUUGCUGUUUGACGUUACCAACAGAAUAAGCACCGGCUAACUUCGUG